rnacentral:rRNA from 1 species
UACGGGAGGCAGCAGUGGGGAAUAUUGCACAAUGGGCGCAAGCCUGAUGCAGCCAUGCCGCGUGUAUGAAGAAGGCCUUCGGGUUGUAAAGUACUUUCAGUCGUGAGGAAGGUGUUAAGGUUAAUAACCUUAGCAAUUGACGUUAGCGACAGAAGAAGCACCGGCUAACCCCGUGCCAGCAGCCGCGGUAAUACGGAGGGUGCGAGCGUUAAUCGGAAUUACUGGGCGUAAAGGGCACGCAGGCGGUUAAUUAAGUUGGAUGUGAAAUCCCCGGGCUUAACCUGGGAAUGGCAUUCAAGACUGGUUAGCUAGAGUCUUGUAGAGGGGGUAGAAUUCCAUGUGUAGCGGUGAAAUGCGUAGAGAUGUGGAGGAAUACCGGUGGCGAAGGCGGCCCCUGGACAAAGGCUGACGCUCAUGUGCGAAAGCGUGGGGAGCAAAC